AGGGAAAGGGCCGGGUGACUAAGAGCAGUGCGGGACCGCAGCUUUCCUUUUCCGCGCAAACGCCGAGAGUGGAAGGUGUUUCGCAAUGGCGAUCGGGUGGCAGAAGAGCUCGCGGGCCCGUUGCCGGGUUCUUCGAGGUGCAACAUCCAGUGGGUUUUGAAGAUGUAUGGAGGUCAUUGGAACAAAAGCUUUCCAAAACCUUGUCAUAGAAGAUGACUGCAGAAAACUAGGAUCACAUUUGACAUGUAACACGGUACCAUAGUACCUGUCGGUGAACGCUCUGGUCCUUUUGCUCUGGUAUUCAGAAAUACAUCUUUUCCUCAAAGGUGUGGCAUACAACAUUGUGGAAGGAAAAAAUGAAGAGUUUUUCAAGAAAAGGAAUAGCAAACUGAAAAUUUUAUUUGAUAUUGAUAAACAAUAAUUAUGUGGAAAAAUACAUGCUUGACGAUUUUUAAUUGCUGUGGACAAUAAAUUGUUAAAACAUC